AACGAACGCUGGCGGCAUGCCUAACACAUGCAAGUCGAACGAGACCUUCGGGUCUAGUGGCGCACGGGUGCGUAACGCGUGGGAACCUUCCCUUAGGCUCGGAAUACCUCCCCGACAGGGGUGCUAAUACCGGAUAAUGUCUUCGGACCAAAGAUUUAUCGCCGUUGGAUGGGCCCGCGUUGGAUUAGCUUGUUGGUAGGGUAAAAGCCUAACACGGCGACGUUACAUAGCUGGUCUGAGAGGAAGAGCAGCCACACUGGGACUGAGACACGGCCCAGACUCCUACGGGAGGCAGCAGUGGGGAAUAUAGGACAAUGGGGGAAAGCCUGAUCCAGCAAGGCCGGGUGAGUGAUGAAGGUCUUAGGGUAGUAAAGCUCUUUUAUCCGGGAUGAUAAUGACAGUACCGGGAGAAUAAGCUCCGGCUAACUUCGUG
rnacentral:rRNA from 1 species